AUUGAACGCUGGCGGCAGGCUUAACACAUGCAAGUCGAACGAGUGGCGGACGGGUGAGUAAUGUCUGGGAAACUGCCUGAUGGAGGGGGAUAACUACUGGAAACGGUAGCUAAUACCGCAUACCAUCGGAUGUGCCCAGCGGGGAUUAGCUAGUAGGUGGGGUAGGGGCUCACCUAGGCGACGAUCCCUAGCUGGUCGGAGAGGAGGACCAGCGACACGGGAAAUGAGACACGGUCCAGACUCCUAAGGGAGGUAGCAGUGGGGAAUAUUGCACAAUGGGCGCAAGCCGGAUGCAGCAAUGCCGGGUGUGUGAAGAAGGCCUUCGGGUGGUAAAGUACUUUCCGCGGGGAGGCGUUACCCGAAGAAGAAGCACCGGCUAACUCCGUGCCAGCAGCCGCGGUAAUUC
rnacentral:rRNA from 1 species